rnacentral:rRNA from 1 species
GAUGAACGCUGGCGGCGUGCCUAACACAUGCAAGUCGAGCGAACGGACCAGAAUUUUGCUGCUCUGAUGUUAGCGGCGGACGGGUGAGUAACACGUGUAUAACCUACCUAUAAGACUGGGAUAAUCUCGGGAAACCGGAGCUUAUCCCGGAUAAUCUUUUGCACCGUAUGGUUCAAAAGUGAAAUACGGUCUUUCUGUCACUUAUCGCUGGAUCUGCGCUGCAUUAGCUAGUUGUUAAGGUAACGGCUUAUCAAGGCAACGAUGCAUAGCCGACCUGAGAGAGUGGUCGGCCACCCUGGAAGAGAGACAGGGCCAAGACGCCUGCGGUAAGCAGCAGUAGGGAAUCGUACGCAAUGGGGGAGAGCCUGACGGAGCGACGCGGCGUGAGGGAUGACGGUGCUCGGAUCGGGAAACUCCGUUAUUAGGGAAAAACAUAUGUGUAAGUAACUGUGCCCAUCGUGACGGUACCUGGUCAAGAAGCCCCGGCUAACUACGUG